AUGGAUACACGGUCAGUGUGCCAACAACUAAGAGAAUCGGUUUCGA
rnacentral:sRNA from 1 species